rnacentral:misc_RNA from 1 species
GAACGCACCUUGCGCCCUUUGGCUAUUCCGAAGGGCAUGCCUGUUUGAGUAUCAUGAACACCUCAACUCUCAUGGCCUGCCAUGAUGAGCUUGGACUUUGGGGGUCUUGCCGGCGUACCGUCGGCUCCUCUCAAACUGAUCAGCUUGCCAGUGUUUGGUGGCAUCACAGGUGUGAUAACUAUCUACGCUUGUGGUUUUCCACCAGGUAACCUUCAGUGAUGGAGGUUCGCUGGGGCUCACAAAUGUCUCUCCUCAGUGAGGACAGCUUUUUAAUGUUUGAUCUCAAAUCAGGUAGGACUACCCGCUGAACUUAAG